AUUUGUCUGGUUAAUUCCGAUAACGAACGAGACCUUAACCUGCUAACUAGAUUCAAUUAUAAUAUAAUUGAUAUCUUCUUAGAGGGACUAUGUAAUACAAAUACAUGGAAGUUUGAGGCAAUAACAGGUCAGUGAUGCCCUUAUAUGUCCUGGGCUGCACGCGUGCUACACUGAUGCAUACAACAAGUGCCUAACCAGACAUGGUAUGGCAAUCUCGAAUAUGCAUCGUGAUGGGGAUAGAUCUUUGCAAUUAUAGAUCUUGAACGAGGAAUUCCUAGUAAGUGCAAGUCAUCAUCUUGCAUUGAUUAUGUCCCUGCCCUUUGUACACACCGCCCGUCGCUCCUACCGAUACCGGGUGAUCCGGUGAACCUUUUGGACCUUAACUGGAAAGAUAAGUAAACCAUAUCACCUAGAGGAAGGAGAAGUCGUAACAAGGUUUCCGUAGGUGAACCUGCRGAAGGAUCA
rnacentral:rRNA from 1 species